CUCCCUUCUCAGCAGCCUCCCUGUUCUCUGUGUUUAUUAAGUUGUGAGUGGUGGUGGGAGGCUCUGUCAGCAUCCUCUCAAAUUUGUGGUUUGCCAGAGAAGUGACUCCAGAACUCCAGCAUGCUUGGAUCGCCUCUUACCAAGACAGGGAGACAACCAAGUGAACUCGCAGGCCUGACAUAAAGCUCAUUAGGGGAUUCUGGGGAAGAAGAGAUGGCGAGGAGCCAGUCACAUGACAGUGGGUGCAGAGGUGUUUUCAAACCAAUGAAGGCCAUGGACUGUGGAGGAGCCCAGAAGAUGGGAGACAUAUCUGUAACAGAACCUGGAAGGGAAGUUCCUGCCAGAGGAACCACUGCCAACUUGAUUUCAGCCUUCUGACUUCAGACUGUGAGGGAAUACAUUCGAGCCAUUCUGGUAGUUUGUGAUAGCAUCUUCAGGAAGUUAAUAUGGCAUACCUUUUGGGUGGUAUAGUUUUUCUUUAAACCUGCAUCUUGUUCUAACAGGGCAGGGGAGGCCCUCAAUAUUUAAUUGUGUUGAUUGGAUUAAGGGACAAUGUAAGUUGUUAUUGGACUAAGCGGCACUGUAUUGAAUGUAUCUGUCAGGGACUUUUCCAGAGAGGAUAAACUGAGAAGUCAAGAUGUUCUCUGGAUGUGGGCUGCACCAUCCCAUGGUCUUGGGUCCCAGACUGAACGAAAAGCAAAAUGGAGAAAGCUGAUCAUGUACCCGCAUUUCCCCUUCUCUGCAACCUGAUCAGCCAAGACGUUAGCAGGCAGCUCGUUGUCACCAUGGACAGAGCCUGGUCCGGGCCUGGUCCCACCACCCGCCUCACCUGCCACAGUGGACUGCGGAUUGUGACCCGGGAGCUAAACCUUUCUCCUCCAUCUUUUACUUUAUCCUCCUGUUUUUUUCUUCCCCCCUCUGCGCUUUCCUUUUCCCUCACAUUUAGUCAUGCUGGCUGGAAUAAAUAGCAAGAUAGAAACAAAGUAUAGUGUUGGACCUUGAGAAAUAGCCCAGCAGGAAGAGCUUAUAGUCACAGGACAGCCAGGACUGACUCUGUCCUCGUUUCUCUUUGAUGGUGCAGUUAGGGCAGUAACUUGGAGACAGAGGGGCUGAAAGGGAUGGAAGACCCGGAUUUCUGCUUCAGGCCCCACUGACACCCCAUUAGGAAGCUCAGAUCCUCUGAGAGGUGUUUUCUACUCUGGAAAAGAAACAAAGAGGAAAGAAGCCUGCAUCCAUGUUCCCAGUUGGGAGCAAGCGAGGUGACGCACAUGUAGACAUUUUGUAAAUGGGAAAUACCUCAAGGAUGCUGAUGGCUGCUAUUAGGCUCCAUUAUGUGAAAUGGCUGGCAUUACACCAUUUUCAACAACAAAAAUAGCAAUUUUAAUAUGCGCUAUAUCCUUUGACCCACAGGGAAUGUUUCAAAACCCUCACUGGGUGCUGGAAUUGGUGACCACAUCAAACCCUACAUAGAUUAUGACUUUUUUUUUUUUUCUUAGCAAAGGUGCCCAUCUAGGAUAGUUUUCAAUUUAUGAAUUUUACACUUUGGUGAUUAACAGAAAGUUAUUUAAAAUGUACGAGCUGUGUAUUUCUGAGAUUCUCCAUUUAAUAUAUUUAAACAUUUAUUUUAUUUUUAAUGGGUUUGUGUAUAUGUGUGAUUGUAUGUAUGCACAUGAGUGCAGAUACUCUUGGAGGCCAGAAGAAGGUGUUAGAUCCCUUGCACAUGGUAGUGGGGAGUUUCUAAGAUGUUCUGAGCUGCCUGGCAUGGGUUCUGGGACGCUAACUCUGGUCCUCUGGAAGAGCACCAAGUGUUGUUAUCCACUGAGCCAUCUCUCCAGCCCCUUAUUUAGUAUUUCCGGGCUGAAGGUGCUGCUGGGCGGAAAGGGAGAUGAGGUAGCAGAGAAGGCUGGGUUUCAGUUCAGUCCUUGCUGAUGCUUUCCCAGGAAGCCAUGCAUCUGGCUCAUCACCAUGCAGAAGUUCUCCAAGUGAACCAACAGCAUUAUCAUUGGCAAUAAUUUUGAAAUGGGAAAAAUGCAAACAGUAAGUCAAAAUCCAGUGUUUCCUCAAGUGGAGGAUGUGUGCUGCUGUGGGCACAGAAAAGCACUCACUGUCUGCAGCCCAUAAAGCCAACACCAGGCCCUUUGAAAGCUGCAGUAGAUCAGCCACCUUCUGUUUCCCCUUGGUCCCCUGAUGACGCAAAGCCACCAUCCCAACUUGGUGCUCUAUGUGUUUGAUUAUUACUGAUUUUCAUUUAAAGCAGACAACAAAAACUCGAGGUAUCUUAGUGUCUGGGUGUUUAUGUAUUUAUUUUUAUAGCAGGAUACUUAUAUCUAUCAUCUAUCUAUUAACUGGGAUGAAAAAUUUUGUUGCAAAUGUUAUUUAUUUAAGAAAAAAAAUCAAUUUGAGGGAAUGGGGAUCUAGCUUGGGCAGGAAUGCUUGCCUCCCGUCUAUGAAGGAUUGGGUUCUAUUCUUAGCACUUCUAAGAUGUGCAUCAGGUUGCAUUCUACAAUCCCAGUAUACAGAAGUGGAGGCAGGAGGAUCAGAAUUCAAGCUCAUCCUUGGUCCCAUAGAGAGUUCAAGGCUAGCCUGGGAUACAUGAGAUCCUGUCUCAGAGAGAAGGGGGAUUUGAUGUAAAGAAAAAUAUUAGGGAAACAACAACAACCCAGAUGGUGGAGGGAUGUGGAUUUUGUGGGGCUCAGGCUACCCUGGAAGUGUGAGCAUGCGCAUGUACAGUUCAUUCAGCCUUACUUUUCCUAUCAUGGAGGAAGCACAUCCUGCGAGGCAAGUCUUAAUGAAGGAAGGUAAAUCAUUUUGAACAGCAAACAGCGGUGCAGAAUUAAAAUCCCUCAACAAUUAAAGGGCAGAGCUGUCAUCCGUUACGAAACAGGAGCCGGAUCUAAUAAAGCGAAUGAAGGUUACUCCAGAAAGCGUCAGAACUGUGUCAACAGCUCCAGCCUUAAGCAACAUUUUCUCUCAUCUCUAGGUAGUCAGUGGCCUGCUGAUGACUUUGAACUAAACACAUAAGACUCUUCUCAUAGCUGAAUAUCAGACUUAAUGAGGGAAACCUUUAGGAAAGAAUUGUGUGCUUUGGAUUCUUCAUUUUUGAUAUUUGGAAUUGGAGAUUGAACCUAGGGUUUGGGACAUGCUAUGUAAAUAUACCACCACUAAAUUACACCUUCCAAUACAAAAAAAGCAGAAAGCGAGAAACUCAGUCCUUUUUGGUCUUGAGAUAUAGUCUUGCUUUAGCUAGCUUUGAACUUACUCUGGAGUCCAGAAAGACCUUGAACUUUUGAUCUUCCUGCCUCAGCAUCUCUAGUAGCUGGAAUGGUAGGCCUUAUCCAACAGGCCUGGCUUGUUGGAUCCAUUUGUAACCAGAGUCAGAAUUACAUCGUUGUCCUGAGCAUGGUCACUGCAGUCUCAUUGUCAAGGCAGAAGGGUGAGGAGAGCCUUUUAUGGUACAGAGAAAUCCAAGUGGUAAAUCAUUCAGCAGAGAAUGAUGCUCUCCAAGAAGACAAGAUUCAUUUGCAAGCCAGGAUUUCCCCUAUAGCAGACCCACUGGUCCCUAAAAAAACAAACAAAACAAAACAAAAUCAGUUAUAGGAAAGUUAAAAAACUAAAGCAAUGGCUUUAAUGGACGGAAGGAAAUCAAAAGAAAGGCUAUGAGGAAAAUAUGGGAGCUUGACCAGAUCCUGGGUUAAGCAAAGGACAGUUAGCUCAGAGCACAUUACCAGGGCCAUUGGGAAGAUUUUAAAGAUAUAUUUCAUUUAAUACAUUUAUUUAUUUUUGCUCUUUGAAGGCAGGGUUUACUCUGUGUAGUCCUAGCUGUCCUGGACCUUCCUUUGUUCUUGUGCGCGCUCGACUGGCCAGGAAGAACGACGCUGCAACAGGAUCCUUCUGCACACGUUUAUUGGGAGAGCUUGAUUGUAGAGGCGAAGAGACCCGGAGCCCAGAACUGGUGCUGCUUUUAUAGGCCUAGGAGAGGCGUGUCUUACACCCGGAUUGGUUAUGCACUACGCCUCAUUUGCAUGUUCCUCAUCUGAUUGGCUACUCUCUCUCAGUACCUCACAGAGCCUCAUUAUCAUACCUCAUUUGCAUGUCUCACAUCUGAUUGGUUACUCUCUCUCAGUACCUUACAGAACCUCAUUAUCAUACCUCAUUUGCAUGUCUCACAUCUGAUUGGUUAUACUCUCAGUACCUUACAGAUCCUCAUUAUCAUGCCCGGGCCAGGCAGUGUCUUUGCAAAAAACUUUACUGCAUAUGUACACAUUGGUUGUUUGUCCAAACUUAUGCGUGGUGGCCAGCAGUAGUCGAUGCCACUCUGCAACGGCACAUGUGGCUCCCCACACUUUGUAGACCAGGCUGACUUUGAACCCAGAGCUCUACCUACCUUUGCCUUAUAAAUUCUGGAAUUAAAGGUAUAAACUACCA
rnacentral:lncRNA from 1 species